UACGUAGGGUGCGAGCGUUGUCCGGAAUUAUUGGGCGUAAAGAGCUCGUAGGCGGCCUGUCGCGUCGGUUGUGAAAGCCCGGGGCUUAACCCCGGGUCUGCAGUCGAUACGGGCAGGCUAGAGUUCGGUAGGGGAGAUCGGAAUUCCUGGUGUAGCGGUGAAAUGCGCAGAUAUCAGGAGGAACACCGGUGGCGAAGGCGGAUCUCUGGGCCUUACCUGACGCUCAGGCACGAAAGCUAGGGGAGCGAACAGG
rnacentral:rRNA from 1 species